UGAACGCUAGCUACAGGCUUAACACAUGCAAGUCGAGGGGCAGCAUGGUCUUAGCUUGCUAAGACUGAUGGCGACCGGCGCACGGGUGAGUAACACGUAUCCAACCUGCCGUCUACUCUUGGACAGCCUUCUGAAAGGAAGAUUAAUACAAGAUGGCAUCAUGAGUCCACAUGUUCACAUGAUUAAAGGUAUUCCGGUAGACGAUGGGGAUGCGUUCCAUUAGAUAGUAGGCGGGGUAACGGCCCACCUAGUCUUCGAUGGAUAGGGGUUCUGAGAGGAAGGUCCCCCACAUUGGAACUGAGACACGGUCCAAACUCCUACGGGAGGCAGCAGUGAGGAAUAUUGGUCAAUGGGCGAGAGCCUGAACCAGCCAAGUAGCGUGAAGGAUGACUGCCCUAUGGGUUGUAAACUUCUUUUAUAAAGGAAUAAAGUCGGGUAUGCAUACCCGUUUGCAUGUACUUUAUGAAUAAGGAUCGGCUAACUCCGUGCCAGCAGCCGCGGUAAUACGGAGGAUCCGAGCGUUAUCCGGAUUUAUUGGGUUUAAAGGGAGCGUAGAUGGAUGUUUAAGUCAGUUGUGAAAGUUUGCGGCUCAACCGUAAAAUUGCAGUUGAUACUGGAUAUCUUGAGUGCAGUUGAGGCAGGCGGAAUUCGUGGUGUAGCGGUGAAAUGCUUAGAUAUCACGAAGAACUCCGAUUGCGAAGGCAGCCUGCUAAGCUGCAACUGACAUUGAGGCUCGAAAGUGUGGGUAUCAAACAGGAUUAGAUACCCUGGUAGUCCACACGGUAAACGAUGAAUACUCGCUGUUUGCGAUAUACAGCAAGCGGCCAAGCGAAAGCGUUAAGUAUUCCACCUGGGGAGUACGCCGGCAACGGUGAAACUCAAAGGAAUUGACGGGGGCCCGCACAAGCGGAGGAACAUGUGGUUUAAUUCGAUGAUACGCGAGGAACCUUACCCGGGCUUAAAUUGCAGAUGAAUUACGGUGAAAGCCGUAAGCCGCAAGGCAUCUGUGAAGGUGCUGCAUGGUUGUCGUCAGCUCGUGCCGUGAGGUGUCGGCUUAAGUGCCAUAACGAGCGCAACCCUUGUUGUCAGUUACUAACAGGUCCUGCUGAGGACUCUGACAAGACUGCCAUCGUAAGAUGUGAGGAAGGUGGGGAUGACGUCAAAUCAGCACGGCCCUUACGUCCGGGGCUACACACGUGUUACAAUGGGGGGUACAGAGGGCCGCUACCACGCGAGUGGAUGCCAAUCCCCAAAACCUCUCUCAGUUCGGACUGGAGUCUGCAACCCGACUCCACGAAGCUGGAUUCGCUAGUAAUCGCGCAUCAGCCACGGCGCGGUGAAUACGUUCCCGGGCCUUGUACACACCGCCCGUCAAGCCAUGGGAGCCGGGGGUACCUGAAGUGCGUAACCGCGAGGAGCGCCCUAGGGUAAAACUGGUGACUGGGGC
rnacentral:rRNA from 1 species